rnacentral:lncRNA from 1 species
AUUUGAACAAGUAAUACCUGUUUAAAAAGCCAUUAUAAGGCAAAUGAUGGAGGUCGUACACGACGGGAUAUCUCUGCGCGGCGUACAUCAUUGCCUCCUGGUUUGCAAAGCAGCCAUCGGCGACAACGGCAAUCAAGUUGGGAUCCACGUUACAGAUCUCCAGCAUAUUUAGCACCUUCUUCAGGGCGACGAGGAUCUCCAUGCUUCCUAACUGCUGGACUCUCAGCGAUGCUACAGUCAGAUGGACGGUACGGUAGUGGGUGCCAUCAGUACGGCCAACGCCUUCCACACACUGUGCUGAUCCGCUCUGCCAAUUGGUACUCGUCAAUGACCAAGAAAAAGGGCUGCCUGUAGUCCUCUAGGUCCCCAAAUCGUUUGAUUUUGCCUUGCGCUAAUUGCUGUUUUGCGACGUCCGCCUAACAUGCUUGCAAGUCCGGUUGAUGUCCCUUUCUCGUCCUCGGAAAAUGUCCAGAUCUAGGAAGAUAGUCCGCAGUGUCCUUAGAUCCAUGUGGCUAUUCGAAAACUGAAUGCUGAACCCUAUUCUAGUCCACUACAUACAGACAAGACAACAGCUUGACAACAAAUAUCAAUGUAUGGGUGGGUAUGGAGUACGCGUUGCAUAGAUCAAUUCUGUGGCAUUGUUUGGCUCAGGCGCUGGCAAAGAAGCGCACAAUUUGGUUAAAAACAAAAGUUAACGGUUGCGCUCAUCGCUGCCCUUUUCUUAGUCCCAGUCUAAAAUAUUGAUCCAACGCUCACUCGUUACUCUAAUCUAGCUCUAAAUUAUUGUAAAGUUUAACGCAGCGCCCCUUUAAAUUGUACAAAAACGUCGAAUAAUAAACGAAAAUAAUAAAAACUAAAUACGGAGAAUAAUUAUCGUAAAUGUGGAGUCAGAGUUGUCGGCAGCUUCCAACAUAGGUGCUGCCAAGCUUCGGUCAGAAAAAGAGCCAUUUCGAACUUUGUUACCAGGAUGCCGACUUAGCUUUUUCCUGUCAGAUCUUACAUUUUUGAAGGGAUAACUGAAGGCUAUAACUGUGUUUUGUGGGAAGCGUUGUUGUUGGUUUAGAGAUGUGUCACAUUUAAAGUG